UGAAUUCUUUGCUGCCGCCAUGGAUGAAGACAUGAAUCCUUAUCAUCCAACGAACGCUUCUCACUCAUAUCUCUCAUUCACUUUUAAUACCUGUGGUGAGGUAAACAAGAAUGGAUUCUGUUACAACGUCAGUGUUCAUAGCAUUUCGCAAGGUUCUACAUUUGACAAUUCAUGUUGCUUCUGCACCUCAUAUACUUCAAGAUGUUGGCGCCAUUCCGUGUCACAGUUGGAAUAGUGGAUGAUAUGCUUAAAAAGACCUAUGAAGAGGGGUGUUCAGCAGUAAAGCAGACACAUUUCCUGAACUGCUGUUUGAAGUGAUGAUCAUGUACCUCAUGCUCAUUGAUCUAUCUACGCAGUCUCCACAGAAUUGAUGAAGGCAAUCGUUAAACGUUUUCGUUUUCUGGAGGAUCCCUACAUCCUAUCAAGACAUUAUGACUGUUUUUUAAUUGAAAACUAGUUACAAUCAUAUAAGUCUUAAUGUCUUUGAUAUGAUGUACGGAUGCUACCAAAAACAAAAAUGUUUAAUGAUUGUGUUCAUCAGUUUUGUGUAGACUGUAUGGUAGUUACACAAUCAACGAGGGUAAGGUACUGUUUUUAACGACUGCCUCACUUUUUAUGCUCGAGGGGUCAGAUACAGCGAUGUUGGACCUGUUUUUACUGUUAGAAGGUGCAGUUGCUCGACAUGCCCUACUCAAUGUGGUUCAAUAGUUCUAUAGGGCAGACCACAAACCCUCAAAUUAUGAAUAUGAUGUUAUUGAUUCUACACUGAUUUGAAUCAUGAUGAGUAUAACAACAUUCUGAAGAUGCUUCCCGAUAUCAUCCCUCCUAAUCAAAUGGCUCUUGGCAGCAAUUCUGAUGAAUGUCUUGGCAUGGGGAGUUUAAGUGUGCUUCAGCAUAUAACGAGUGAUAAUAUGGUUUAUUGAGAUCUUAUUGGCGAUCUUUUAGUUCAAGAUUCUUCCCUAUCUUCAGUUUUGAAGUGGAUGCUGGAAAAAGUUGCUAAUGCUCAUCAAGAAAACAUUAAACAGAGAGUGGCGGUCUUCAGUGCUUCUGUGAGCAUGCUAAAGAUUUAAAUUCCGUGUCCUCUAUACAGUUUAUCUGUCCGAGUAUCAGAGGUCAAGUUGCUUCUUUGGGAAAAUUUGGUUCACAACACCACGUCAAGGGUCCAUCUUUCAUAUAAGGUGACAAGGAGUCUCAUGUAUUUUCAGAAUCAUUGAUGAAUUGUGAGAGGUUUGGACUCACAUCGGGUUUGUUCAAGAAAUUAUAGAACAACUCCUGGUCUGUUCAGGAUAUAUAUUAUGCAAAGACCUCCUAAUUAAUUCAUCCUUAACAACUGUAAAUAAAAAAAAAAGAUUAAGGAAGGGAUAGAGGGUGUGAAAGCUACAAAGGGAGGUGCCAUAAUGAGCAAAAGAGAGAGCAUAGUAGUUACACAAUCAGUGAGGGUAAGUUACCAUAUUGUGUUUACAAGUUGCACAACAACAAAAUUGGAUUUUUAG